ensembl:lncRNA
CAGAAAGCGCGUGCGGCCGCCUCCUCCUCGCACACGUAUUCUGACCAGACCACAGUCAGACCGGCUAUUCAUUCCUCCAGCACUUGCUGAAGCCCCGGCAUUUCUCCCCCCGACCCUCCACCGCAGCACGGACAGCAGCGAUGUUUUCCUGCAGAGCGGCCUGGCUAAAGUGUGGCCCUUUGGCACGGAAAGCAGCCUACCGGCUGCCCCGGGACGUUGUACAGCGGCGACCGAUGUCAUCAAUUCCUGGUGGUUCUGGGGAGAAUAUCGUCUACGCUCUAAUGUGUGGAGGAGUCUUUGUUGGCUCGGUGGCAUACGCAUACAACACCCUGAGCACAGACGGAGCCAGGUUCAACGACCGCAUCUCUGAAAUCAAUGCCAGACCCAAGACAGAGUGGGUGCCUAAACCAUGGCCCCCCAAGAGUAAGUCCUCCUCACUUGACUAAACAACACCACUACCCCAUUAAAAACUGACCAAGGACAUUUUGGUCCUCCUUGUAAAGUCCCAGAAUGGACAUUAAUGUACAUAACGGGGGCGGAACCUAUGCACACAAUUGCACUUUUAACAGUGAUGAGAAUAAUUCAUGCAAUUGCAGCUCGUGCAAAUGAACAAAAUAAUCAGAAUUGUGUUCAGUGCAACACUGCUGGACAUUCACUCACGUAACGUACCCCCACGGCCUCAAGCCUUUUCUUUAAGCUCUGCCAUUGUCCAAACUUUCUCUUUUCACGCUAUAAUUCAAGAUUAUAACAAGUAUAUAAGGGAAUGUAUUUGCUGCUCCAUUAAGGACAAAACUGGUAACCAAUUAUACAAAUGUUGGAUUUUCAAAUGAAAUCUCCACUCCACAAUUAAUAUCAUUUUUGAAAAAGCAAAGCUAAGAAGUGAGCUGCUGAUGGAACCGUAGCUGCGGUCUACGACGUGGAUCUGAAGUGAUGUCUGUGUUUGCUUGCAGGCAGGGACGAGGAAGAGGGUAAGUGGUCUCACUCCGUUGGACUUCCUGUCAGUAACACUGAACACUUGCUGAAUGCUCACUCACACGCUGUCUGGGGCUCAAGGGGACUCGGUGAUGGGCGUCUCUUCUCAGGCCUCCUGUCACUAACCUAACUCUGUGAUGGCACUAAUCACUGUGCAUGUUAACUCUUAUGGUUCCACGGUUAGCCCGUCGACAGCCGGGAGGUAGUUAGGCAAUGAGCCAAUGAUUGUGAGGGCCAUUUGCGAGCUGCAGACUAAAGAGCUAACGUUGAUAUUCAUGGUUGACUUAUUUGUCUUCCAUUGGUGAAAAGGGUCACAUUUGACUCCCACUGAAUGGCUAAUAUUCGCCUCCGGUCGAUCACACACAAAAGUGCUGUUGGGUGACCGGGGCAAAUGGACAUUAAGGUGCACUCUUGGUUUUAGCACCCUUUCUGCAAGGACAUGAAGGAUGUACCGUUUGUAAAAUGACUGCCUGACAACCAUGAAGUUUUGCUUCAUUGAAGUAAUGUUGCAGCAGAUUUGAUUUACCAGGCCUGGGAGUGAAGGCACAGUACUUUGUUUGAGACUGACUGGUAAAGUUACUUGUUACAUAGUAUUAGAAUUGAAACCGUGUCAUAGGUUUCCACUGCGGCCGUCAGUUUGGUGAUUUAUGAACCAACGAGAGGGAGGCAGGUUAUGAGCACGACUCAGAAAUAAGGAUAUCAGUCAGUCCCGACUGACCCGAAGUGAAGUAAUGGAUUCUGCUGGUGAGUUCAGUCUGUAUGAUAUAAGAAGAGGAUAAAGGAGAGAAAGGUUCUCAGGAAAUAGAAACAUCAACUGAGCUUCUAUGAUUUGUUAAAGGAACAUAAAUCCAUGUACAUCAUUCACGUAGAGCAUCCUGAGCUUUGGCGCCUCCCAUAUUCAUCCAUAACAUCUUUAUAGAGCAUGGUUGUACUCUGGCCGGUCCCAGUUGGACCGUUCUGUCCUCCCAGGUGACCCAACUCCUGAAUUUCCCCCCACUGGCCUGAAGGCUCAGCCCCAAUCCCAAUCUCCACGACCAUGUUUAGUUCAGUCCCAAUGUCGACUCAUCCAGUGGUUCAGGGCUCUCUGCUAAAAACAUUUCGGGCCCUUAAUGAACACAUUUUCUAUGGAAAUUUCCCAUCAUUCACAGCCAUGUGAUGUUGAAAGUGAAGCUGGCAACUUCCGGCUGAUCAUUUACACAGAAAAAUGAACCAUGAAACACAUAUUAUAUUUCAUAUUUAUUGAUUUUGAUUGAUUUAUUUAGUGACAUCACUGAUAGUCUGAGGAAUAACUUUCGUCUUUUGAGGAGAGAGCCUGGAGGGCGUUCAAAUCGGUUAUAGAUAGUACAUAACGUAUUAGAUAGAUAGAUCAUUUUGUUAUCGCAGCAGCAUGUACAGGGAAGAAUAGAAUAAAAAGAUACACAUUAUAUAUAAUAUAAUAAGAUAAAAAUAUUAAAUUACAUAAACUAAACUGAAUCAAAAUAAUUACCUUCAAAAAGAGACAAUAAUAAUUAUUUUUAAAAGGACGUAUUAAACGUAUUAUGACAUCGUCAUGGUAACACCAUAUGUCGCAGCUAGACGCUGUCCCAUUUGUAUCUCUGCUCUAAGAGCCUCUCCCUCUCAACCAUCUAGCGGGGGGCUGAGUAAGUCCUGGAGGCCUUAAGGUGACAUUGGGAUCGGGCUGGAGUCUCUAUCAGUCCCUUCCUUUGAUAGCACUCAAUCCCCGGUUGCUCCUUCAUCGUCUCCCAUUUACCUCUCUGUGUUAAUAAGAGGUUCAGAAGAAAGGAAAACAAUCCCAUUGUCCCUGAACAUCUGGUCCAAGUGAGACCACCUGGUGACUGUCACAGAACUGCCUGCGACUAAAGCUUCUUCUCAUCUAGCUCACCAGAGCAUAGCAGCCUAGCAGCUCAUCCUUUGUGAUUUUUGCUAAUUCCCACCCGCACAGCUUCUGUGGUUGACUAUCAGUUUAACAAUGACCUUGUGUAAAGUGAACAGGGGUUUUCUUCUCUCUAAUUCUCUGUGUCUUUGCUCUUUUCAGUGUAAAGGUAGAGCUAAGGUCCUCUGUGGCCGCAUGGAUAUCCCCCCUAGAACUGGAUUCUGAAAAGGGACCCCCUCCCCCCACAUCCUCUCCUUCCUCCCCCAAUAAGAAAGAACGAGUGCUUCACUCAACCUUAAACCGUGGGACAAGUCUGGGAAGGAUGUUGAUUCCCUUCAACUUUCUUCAUUUCCCCCCCGACCCCCCUCUGGCUGCUAAAUGUAAAGUGUAACCCCUUGAAGAGAAUAAAUGGACCUCACAGACGUGUCUGGAUUUUCAGUGGUUCAAUGGACUUCAUCGCUGUUCAACACCGGUCUGGUUUGAAGAACAAAAAAAGGAUUUCUUUUAAAUGGACAUUAACCGUUUUGAGUAAAGCUUUGCAUUAAUAUCCAACACGUUAGCAUGCGCUGUUGCGAGCAUUGGCCACCUUUUGGUGUGAACGUGUGCUGUAGGUGUAUCUGGUGAGGAGUUUAAUAGCAACUGUAUUUGAAGCCUCAAAGCGCCACUUCAAAAAUAAUUCAAAUAAAUGGCUAUUUAUUGAGUUGGUUAACCUGUUUGUCAGUAAGUAGUAAGUCUUGUUUGCCAGUCUGAAAAUAGCGUCACAUGAAGAAUAAAAUCAUUUAUAGCAGAUAGAAUCUCUUCCUUGGAUAUGGAUCCCAGACAUCGUUUUUUCCACAAGGAGGUAAACUCUUUAUAGAGAAGGUCAGGGUGUCCACUGCUGGAAAGUCCCAGGUGAAUGAAUACAAGCCACCGUUGUAUUACCUGGUGAUGAAACUCUAGACGGGAACCGUUUCAUUCGUAGCGGAAACCGGAUCCCAAACUGAAGCAGUUGUCUGUCAGCGCUAGUGAUGAAUCGGCACUGUUCCUAUGAACAAAAUAAAUAAUAUGUAUUAUUUAAAAAAAAUACAGAUUAUACAUAUUAUAACUCCCUCCCAGCUUCCACCAUGUAGCAAUAAGCAUGCUAUUGUAAUAUUCUAACAUUGAAGUGAUUCCCACUGAUGGCCACAGCAUCGACCCAGUUGGUAUGGUUCCUUUCCAUGUCGCACCUCGGCAGAGUGCACUCGGGUCUCGAUGAUUUUACCUGUGUGCUGAAACUGUCGUUGCUCGGGACUCCCACGGCUCGGGGGGGUUGGCUGAUGGUCAAUGUGGAUGACCUGCUGUCGGAGCUCCAGGUAGCACGUAGUUUGUUAAUCGGAUGGUAAGAACCAAGAUUCAACUUCCCCCCUUCUACCCUGCACCUUGACCCGCAACCCUCCCCUCCGUCCCCCCGUCAUGUUCCUCCCUGUCCUUGGUUUGCAUGUAGUUUAGUGUUGUGAAUCAGAUGUUUGUUUUUUCUUAAUAAUGAUUGACUGUUGGGGGGGCGGAGGGGGUUAAAGUGGCUUUUCUAGAAGAAGCACUUCUGGCUCAGCCUAUUACUAGUAGCUAUGUUUCCAUCCAACUGCCCAUGCGUGUCAUUUUACCUAGUCUGACGUGUUACACUUAAUAAAAGCGUCAGCUAAAUGACCUGUAAUGUAAUUUCAUUUACUUUCAAGACUUCACAAUAAAAGUCCCCUGUUAGUUACUACGGCUCAGAGUAGUUUAAAAUAUGGCUGCUUACAAAGCUUGUCUUAUUCUUCUUUCCCCCCCCCACACAGUAGUCUGCCUUUAUUUUAAGUGGAAAUAUCUUGAUUGUUGGACUCCGACUGUGGGCUGGUGGUCCUCCUCUCUCCUCUCGGGGGACGAUGAUUUCAUGACCAGUGUGGAUCGUUUUCACACCUCAGUGCGAUCUGCAGAUGAGAGCUCAGGCGCGUGUAACCCCCCCCUCCCUUAGUUAGGGAGAGUUGCACAUCUGUAUUUUAACCCAUCUGGCAGCACCUGACAUCCAACCACCCUUUAUCUUUGACAAAGAUAUUCAGCACACAUCUUUUUUUCAUCCACAUUGUAGAGCUGUCGCCCAGAAAAAGAUAAACGUUGGAAUAAAUGAGACGCUGAGGCCACGGAACUGUACAAACUAUCCCGAUGGAGCCCACAGAGCGUUCAUCAACCCGAUACUUAAACACCUAGUAGACCAUUCUUUCCCAUUUGGCACUCACAAGGUUCACCUUGACGCAAAUCUGUCACGUGACAUCACAAAUCGUAUGCCGGCUAUGCUGAUAAUGACGUAUUUAUAAGAGAUGAUAUUUUGGACAGACAUGAUAAACUAAAUUCCUCCUAUAGUGACAGCCCUACCACAUAUGAUUGUUCAUAAAACACCGGAUGGAAACCUAGCUACCGCGAACACAAUAAUAUCCCAGAAUUAUGUCGCUUUUUAAACUGUUCAUCAAAAUAUUUCAUAUUUGAAAAGAGGGAUGUUUUUUUUGGGCUGAUAUUAUUUUAUUUUUUAACAUGCCGCGUUUGUGGAACACACUGAUUAGCACCGCUGAGGGAGGCGGGCUGCUCCCUGCAGGAGAACGUGAUGGUGUCUCUGGCCAACGCGCGCCUUCUGCUUCCUGUGUUCCAGCUGGAGAGGAGGAAGUGGCAGCUGGAGAGGAGGAAGUGGCAGCUGAGGAGGCCGGCGAAGAGGAGGCUGCCGCUGAUGGCGAAGGAGAGAUCGUGGCCGAGGUUGCAGAGGUCGUUGCUGAGGCGGCGGAGGAGGUCGCCGAGGCGGCAGAGGAAGUUACAGAGGUCGCUCGUGAAGUGGAGGCGGUCGCGGAAGAGGUGGCUAAGGCGGCCGAAGCCGCCCCCCAAGCCGCCGCAGAACUAGCCGCCGAGGAGCCCGACAGCAACGUGCCGCUGGCUGCUGCUUCUGCUCUAGAAGUACCAAAGAUCGUUGAAGUGACGGAAGAGUUAGCCGCAGCCAUUCAGGACAUCGAUAAGUCCCUUGCACCAGUUGAGGAGGCUACCAAGCCAGCAGAAGAGUCCCCAGCACCAGUAGAGCCUGCACCAGUUGUCGAAGAGGCCACUUUAGAGCCUGCACCAGUUGAAGACGCCCCAGCACCAGUAGAGGUUGCACCAGUUGAAGAGGCCCCAGCACCAGUGGAGGUUGUUGAUGAGUCCCCAGUAGAGGCUGCACCAGUUGAAGAGGCCCCAGCACCAGUAGAGGUUGUUGAAGAGGCCCCAGUAGAGGCUGCACCAGUUGAAGAGGCCCCAGCACCAGUAGAGGUUGUUGAAGAGGCCCCAGUAGAGGCUGCACCAUUUGAAGAGGCCCCAGCACCAGUAGAGGUUGUUGAAGAGGCCCCAGUAGAGCAGCUUGCACCAGUUGUUGAAGAGGCCCCAGCACCAGUAGAGGCUGCACCAGUUGUUGAGGAAGUCUUGGUACCAUCUGAACCUGAAGUUACCACAGCACUUGCUGAAGAACCAGUCACCACCGCAGUUGAUGAAGAGGCUCUGGCAACCAUCGCUGCAGAAGUAGCGACCCCUCUGGUGGUUGAAGAAGCGGCUACUGAAACCCUUGCCGAAGCUCCGAAGAGAGAGUACAUUGUUGUGGUCCUGGAAGGAACACCUAAAGCUGAUAAGUCACCCAAGGUGCUUGGAGUGGAGUCCAUGACUGGUAGAAUCAUCCCAACUCCAGACGACGACGUCUCUGCUUCUGAGGGUAGGCGACGCCUUCUUAGGAUGCAAAUGCAGUAGUUCCAAAUGAGUAAGCAGCUUCCUGGAUGAUGACUUUCUUUCCUGCAGAAGAGGAUGGACGUGCCUUUUUUCCAACUCUUUCCCUUCCUUUUUAACCAAAAGAAACCCAAACUGACUAACACAUAGUUCCUGUGUAAAUACGCACAUACUGCACAGUGUUCAAUGCCCACUUUGUUGAGCCAUUAAACCGGCAUGUGAGCCCAUUACUGUGCCCCGCCACACCAACCUGCAUAUCUUGAAUCUGUAGUAGAUGACCCCAGUCAGUAGGUGAACACAUCUCUGGUACAGUAUAUCUCUUAGUAGCCUAAAUAGCAGUUUGUGUCACUUCAAUUGAGCCAUUCAGUCACCGUCAGUGUUUACUCUCUCAAAACAAACUUGUAGUUUUAGACGUAUUAGGGUUGAAGGGGUGUUUACUUCAUCAGCAUUCUUUACAAUACCAGCGCUCAGGAUUUUUCUUCUGCUUCUUGGUUUGAACAGCUGGAAAACACCUGCUGCACUGUUGUUAUGAAGAAACACCUGGAGCACAGCAGCCCCUUUGUACAGAAUCUACCUCACCGAUCCUUGUGUUUUCACUCCUUAAUAAUGAAACUACCGACCUCUUCUCAUGCAGUCACACAAAGGUUACACUUCCCAAGCCAACAACACCAUUGCUAAGCCUCCGACUUCGAUAAGCACAUCAUUUCUUUAUUUCAAAAGCUGUCAUUGGAUAAUCCAAACUCCUCUUGUAAAGCUCAAUGCUACAGGCGUCUGUAGGAUGAGCACACCAAGCUUUUCUCUCCAGCGGGCCCUGAAACAUGGAGGGGAAACUGCUGCUGCUCUCAAAAUUGGUUACGUCACAUUUUGUGUUCUUCCCCUUGAUGGCUGCUUGAAGACACCAGUUGUGACCUCCGGGAUUUUGGGGAAUGUGGCCAUGAAACAAACCUACAAGUUUGAAAGCAGCAGAUAUUGAGUUUCCUUUAGCGGACGUUGUUACUCAAUUUUGUAGAUUGUACAUGAUUAUACAAUGAAUGUAUGAAAUAUAUUGGACAUUUUCCUGAUAUUACAUUGCAAUGACUUUACACUUAGCCUAAACCCUGUUUCUCCUUGUCAGUCAUUCAUCUCUACUCACUGAGUAGCCCUGUUAAUCUAGCUCGUGGGUUAGGGAAGACGAUGAGCAGAAUCAUGUUCUUCCACCCGUGGCUAUUAUUGUUCUAGCAGUCAGAACUGUGUUGUGUGGUCUAAAGUUUUCACAGCAGAUAUGAACCGUAAUGUUUUCAGAUAUGCGACAUCAAAUGCACGUGUAUGUGUCCGAGGUCAAGGGUCCCGUGUGAAAUGCUUUGACGGCUCCUGUUGCCGUCUUUUCUCUUGUGUCAGCAGUAUUUGAAAUGAAGUUACUGAGGGAAGAUUUGAAACUCGUGUGCAUUUCUGUAAUGCAAAUGGGAUCAGAAAAUGACACUUGUCAGUCUUUGUUGCUCGCAGGCAGGUUUUUGUAGUAGGACGAUGCCUUUGACUUAGCAAAGGAACUGAACUGAAACUGUGAAUCUUUCCCAUAAUACAGUUUUUCUUGUUUUUUGCUAAAUAAAGUGGGACUAAACAUGA